rnacentral:rRNA from 1 species
AGAGUUUGAUCAUGGCUCAGGAUUAACGCUGGAGGCGUGCCUAACACAUGCAAGUCGAGCGAGACCAGAUCUUUAGCUUGCUAAGGAUGCUGCUAGCGGCGGACGGGUGAGUAAUGCAUAAGUAACUUGCCCUCUUGUUGGGGAUAACCCCAAGAAAUUGGAGCUAAUACCGAAUAAUCUUGUUUUUUCGCAUGUUAAGACAAGGAAAGGUUUACCGCAAGAGGAGAGGCUUAUGUCUGAUUAGCUAGUUGGUAAGGUAAUGGCUUACCAAGGCUACGAUCAGUAGCUGGUCUGAGAAGAUGAUCAGCCACAUUGGGACUGAGACACGGCCCAGACUCCUACGGGAGGCAGCAGUGAGGAAUUUUGCGCAAUGGAGGAAACUCUGACGCAGCGACGCCUCGUGAACGAUGAAGUCUUUCGGGAUGUAAAGUUCUGUCAGUGGGGAAGAUAAUGACGGUACCCACAGAGGAAGCACCGGCUAACUACGUGCCAGCAGCCGCGGUAAUACGUAGGGUGCGAGCGUUAUCCGGAUUUAUUGGGCGUAAAGGGUGCGUAGGUGGCUAGGUAAGUAAGGUGUGAAAGAUACAGGCUCAACCUGUAUUUGCGCCUUAAACUGCUUAGCUAGAAGAUGCUAGAGGAAAGCGGAACUCACAGUGUAGCGGUGAAAUGCGUAGAUAUUGUGAGGAACACCAGUGGCGAANNNGGCUUUCUGGGGCAUUCUUGACACUGAGGCACGAAAGCGUGGGGAGCAAACAGGAUUANAUACCCUNNANUCCACGCCGUAAACGGUGGUCAUUAGGUAUAGGGGGUCNACCCCUUCUGUGCCGUAGCUAACGCGUUAAAUGACCCGCCNGGGGA